rnacentral:rRNA from 1 species
AUACGGAGGUAGCGAGCGUUAAUCGGAAUUACUGGGCGUAAAGCGCGCGUAGGCGGCUUUGUAAGUCGGAUGUGAAAGCCCUGGGCUCAACCUGGGAAUUGCAUUCGAUACUGCAGAGCUAGAGUAUGGUAGAGGGAAGUGGAAUUUCCGGUGUAGCGGUGAAAUGCGUAGAUAUCGGAAGGAACACCAGUGGCGAAGGCGACUUCCUGGGCCAAUACUGACGCUGAGGUGCGAAAGCGUGGGGAGCAAACAGGAUUAGAAACCCGAGUAGUCC